UCUGCGGAUGUAAUCUGCAAACGUUAGCAUCUGGUACCUAUUUCAAACAACUGUAGAAUUAAUAUUCGUCGAAUUUUAUGCGCAGAACUCCAUCUGGUUUUAACUUCAUCUGCAAAUCGAUUAAAGCUGUUCAUUUGCAGAUUACAUCCGCAGAUUUUAAAUCUAUCCGCUUAAAACAGUCCUUCAUAGAAUCUGUUUAUCUAUUUAGUGUUUAAUCAAUACACAUCUGUUGAAAUCUAAUCUGAUUCGGGAGUUUGUUUGUUGUUCAUCCGGGCGAUAUAAAUCAUCCGAUCACUAGCAAUUCAGUUUUCAGAAAAUAUGUUAAAAUGUCCCUUCUGUCCUCAUAGCAGAGACUACUGUUACGAGUCUACAUCUUCACAUAUUGAGCUUUCAGAGCCCAGAAGUGCCCAAUGAUAACCAGCCUUCCGGUCUAAUGGAAAGUGGGAAAAAUCUAACUCCAUGGCAGAAUAACACUCUAACUGGUAUUCAGCAGUCUCACAAAGAACCUGGUGAGUUUGAGUUUGUUAACGAUGCUUCGAAUAAUGGCACAGAGUUUAAGAAGGAUGUCUUGAGCGGCAAUUAAAGACACUCAGCGUCAGAUGUGACAACUUUUAGAAGCAGUGAUUCAUCUGAUAAGUCAGCUGGCUUUCCUGCUCCAGAUUUAAGUUCACAGACAAGAUAUGUCCGACGAAGAGGAGCAAAGAAAGUACGAUGGAGGAGUUGCCAGAUGGGAAGAAUCU